rnacentral:rRNA from 1 species
AGAAUCAACGCUGGCGGCGCGCUUAACACAUGCAAGUCGAGCGAGAAAGGGGAGCAAUCCCUGAGUAAAGCGGCGUACGGGUGAGUAACACGUGGGUAAUCUACCUUUUAGUGUGGAAUAACCCUGGGAAACCGGGGCUAAUACCGCAUAAGCCUGAGAAGGGAAAGCAGCAAUGCGCUGAAAGAGGAGCCCGCGGCCGAUUAGCUAGUUGGUGGGGUAACGGCCCACCAAGGCGAUGAUCGGUAGCCGGCCUGAGAGGGCACACGGCCACACUGGCACUGAAACACGGGCCAGACUCCUACGGGAGGCAGCAGUGGGGAAUCUUGCACAAUGGAGGCAACUCUGAUGCAGCGACGCCGCGUGAGCGAUGAAGCCCCUCGGGGUGUAAAGCUCUUUCGGCAGGGACGAUAAUGACGGUACCUGAAGAGAAGCUGCGGCUAACUCGUGCCAGCAGCCGC